UACGGAGGAUGCGAGCGUUAUCCGGAUUUAUUGGGUUUAAAGGGUGCGCAGGCGGAUUUUUAAGUCAGCGGUCAAAUCGUGGGGCUCAACCCCAUCCAGCCGUUGAAACUGGGGAUCUAGAGUGUGCGAGAGGUAUGCGGAAUGCGUGGUGUAGCGGUGAAAUGCAUAGAUAUCACGCAGAACCCCGAUUGCGAAGGCAGCAUACCGGUGCACAACUGACGCUCAGGCAUGAAAGCGUGGGUGUCGAACAGG
rnacentral:rRNA from 1 species